rnacentral:rRNA from 1 species
UGGGGAAUAUUGGACAAUGGGGGCAACCCUGAUCCAGCAAUACCGCGUGUGUGAAGAAGGCCUUCGGGUUGUAAAGCACUUUAGUUGGGGAAGAAGAUGAGUAGUUUAAGAGAUAGCUCAUUUGACGGUACCCAAAGAAUAAGCACCGGCUAACUCUGUGCCAGCAGCCGCGGUAAUACAGAGGGUGCAAGCGUUAAUCGGAGUUACUGGGCGUAAAGGGCGCGUAGGUGGUUAUUUAAGUUGGAUGUGAAAUCCCUGGGCUUAACCUAGGAACUGCAUACAAGACUGGAUGACUAGAGUAUUGUAGAGGGUAGUGGAAUUUCCGGUGUAGCGGUGAAAUGCGUAGAGAUCGGAAGGAACACCAGUGGCGAAGGCGGCUACCUGGACAAAUACUGACACUGAGGCGCGAGAGCGUGGGGAGCAAACAGGAUUAGAUACCCCCGUAGUCC